rnacentral:rRNA from 1 species
UACGUAGGGCGCAAGCGUUAUCCGGAAUUAUUGGGCGUAAAGAGCUCGUAGGCGGCUGUCCACGUCGGGUGUGAAAGCUCAGGGCUCAACCCUGAGAUGCCAUUCGAUACGGGACGGCUAGAGGUAGGUAGGGGAAAGUGGAAUUCCUGGUGUAGCGGUGAAAUGCGCAGAUAUCAGGAGGAACACCAAUGGCGAAGGCAGCACUCUGGGACGUGACUGACGCUGAGACGCGAAAGCGUGGGAGCAAACAGG